rnacentral:rRNA from 1 species
AGUGAACGCUGGCGGUAGGCCUAACACAUGCAAGUCGAACGGCAGCACAGGAGAGCUUGCUCUCUGGGUGGCGAGUGGCGGACGAGUGAGGAAUACAUCGGAAUCUACUUUUUCGUGGGGGAUAACGUAGGGAAACUUACGCUAAUACCGCAUACGACCUACGGGUGAAAGCAGGGGACCUUCGGGCCUUGCGCGAUUGAAUGAGCCGAUGUCGGAUUGGCUAGUUGGCGGGGUAAAGGCCCACCAAGGCGACGAUCCGUAGCUGGUCUGAGAGGAUGAUCAGCCACACUGGAACUGAGACACGGUCCAGACUCCUACGGGAGGCAGCAGUGGGGAAUAUUGGACAAUGGGCGCAAGCCUGAUCCAGCCAUACCGCGUGGGUGAAGAAGGCCUUCGGGUUGUAAAGCCCUUUUGUUGGGAAAGAAAUCCAUCUGGUUAAUACCCGGGUGGGAUGACGGUACCCAAAGAAUAAGCACCGGCUAACUUCGUGCCAGCCGCCGCCGUAA